rnacentral:rRNA from 1 species
UACGGGGGGGUAAGCGUUGUUCGGAUUUACUGGGCGUAAAGGGCGCGUAGGCGGCCACCGCAAGUCGACUGUGAAAUCUCCGGGCUUAACUCGGAAAGGUCAGCCGAUACUGCGGGGCUAGAGUGCAGAAGGGGCAACUGGAAUUCUCGGUGUAGCGGUGAAAUGCGUAGAUAUCGAGAGGAACACCUGCGGCGAAGGCGGGUUGCUGGGCUGAUACUGACGCUGAGGCGCGAAAGCCAGGGGAGCGAACGGG